CCUACGGGUGACAGCAGUGGGGAAUAUUGCGCAAUGGGCGAAAGCCUGAUGCAGCGACGCCGCGUGAGGGAUGAAGGUCUUCGGAUCGUAAACCUCUGUCAGCAGGGAAGAACGGUCACUGUGCUAAUCAGCAGUGAAUUGACGGUACCUGCAAAGGAAGCACCGGCUAACUCCGUGCCAGCAGCCGCGGUAAUACGGAGGGUGCAAGCGUUAAUCGGAAUUACUGGGCGUAAAGCGCUCGUAGGCGGUAUGUCAAGUCAAGGGUGAAAUCCCCGUGCUCAACGUGGGAACUGCAUUUGAAACUGGCAGACUUGAGUGUGUUAGAGGAGAGUGGAAUUCCAGGUGUAGGGGUGAAAUGCGUAGAUAUCUGGAGGAACAUCAGUGGCGAAGGCGACUAUCUGGCACAUAACUGACGCUGAGGAGCGAAAGCGUGGGUAGCAAACAGGAUUAGAUACCCUUGUAGUC
rnacentral:rRNA from 1 species